rnacentral:rRNA from 1 species
CCCUUAGAUGUUCUGGGCCGCACGCGCGCUACACUGACGGAGUCAACGAGUUGUCCUGCAUCGGAAGGUGUGGGUAAUCUUUUGAAACUUCGUCGUGCUGGGGAUAGAUCUUUGCAAUUUUCGAUCUUGAACGAGGAAUUCCUAGUAAGCGUGAUUCAUCAGAUCGCGUUGAUUACGUCCCUGCCCUUUGUACACACCGCCCGUCGCUACUACCGAUUGAAUGGUUUAGUGAGGCCUCGGGACUGGCGCGCUCGAGUAGCAAUACACCUGCGCGCCGGGAACUUGGUCAAACUUGAUCAUUUAGAGGAAGUAAAGGUCGUANCA